ensembl:lncRNA
GUCCGACUUUGAAGCGGGAUCAAACUCGACAGCGCUGGCCCCAGUGAACCUGGCUUGCUGAAGGUUGGGAAAAUAUCCUCAGUGGUUGGUGGAUACCCACAUUUUACCAGCCCCUCCUAUUUUGUUCCAGGCCCAUUUCUCUUCUAUGCUGUACCCCACCCCGCUUUCACCUCUAGCGUUCAGAUUGUUUCUUCUAGAGCUGAAACACACUAAAAUAAAUAUGAAUGUACCAGCCAAUGCCAAAAUCUACCAGCAUUUGGCAAGUGGCUGGUGUUCAUUUCUCACCCUGCUGAAGAUGGGUCAGAAUUAUGUAGCCAUCAGAAUGUUCAACAAUGCCUUCAGGAUGGACCCCACCUACAUCAGAGGAUACAGGUAGCCUAGUGGUUAGAGCAUUGGUUCAGUAACCGAAAGGUUGGUGGAUUGAAUCCCCGAGCUGACGAGGUAAAAAUCUGUUGUUCUGCCCCUGAACAAGGUAGGUAACCCACUGUUUCUAGGCUGUCAUUGUAAAUAAGAAUUAGUUCUUAAGUUCUUAACUGACUUGCCUAGUUAAAUAAAGGUCAAAUGUUAAAUAAGAAAUAC